rnacentral:tRNA from 1 species
GCGACGAUAGUAUAAUGGUAGUAUACGAGACUGUGGCUCUUGUGGUCCGGGUUCGAUUCCCGGUCGUCGCC